GAAACUAGUCUAUCUUUAUAAGUUUAUAAAUGGUGUGUUUCUUCACUUGUCCUCCAAGUUUUUAUUGAAGCUGCUUAUAUGGCCUUAACUGGAUUAUCUUCUCUCUUUUUUAAAUUAGUAUAUAUGUUCAUGUAUUUUUGUAGUUUAUUUGAAAAGUUAAGACCAUCUGCAGUUCAGAGAACACAGCGAUAGAGACCCAGGAUGUUAGAAGAGAACAUGUAGAGCUGAGCUCCAUGUGACUGACUGUGUGUUUGCAUAUGUGUCCUGCCUCUCUGCUCCAGCUGUUAAGAGGUCAGAGUUGAUCAGUGGCUGUCCAGGCCUUUCAGAGCCACUGACACACCAGCAGCACAAUGAUGAUGUCACUGGCUCUACUGCUGACCAUCCUGGGGCUCCUGGUUCAGGGUUCCUCAGCAGUCAUCACCCUGACUCAGACUCCAGGAUCUCAGUCUGUUACUCCAGGACAGACUGUCUCCUUUAGCUGUAAAGCCAGUUCACCUGUUGAUGAUGAUUUGCACUGGUACCUUCAGAAACCUGGAGCAGCUCCAAAGCUCCUUAUCUAUUCCGCUUCUUCACGUUGGACUGGAGUGUCUGAUCGUUUCACUGGAAGUGGAUAUGAUAUUGAUUUCAUUCUGACCAUCAGCAGAGUUCAGGCCGAAGAUGCAGGAGUUUAUUACUGUCAACAUGAUGAGAACUUCCCGUUCACACAGUGAUACAACGUCGUACAAAAACCUCACGGCUGCAGAGGAACUGAUCCACAGCUGCACUGAAAAACAAGUUGUACAUGUAGGGAAUAAAAGAAAAGUUUAAUACAA